AGGAAUAAAGCAAAGUCAGUGCUUGUGAUGUACUUUGUUUACUUGAAUGGAUCAGCCAUACUGCCAAAUGACAUUAGCAGAAUAAUCCAAAAUGAUGUUCAAACUCAGGUGAUGCUGUCAAAUUUGGGGCUGCUAUUGAUUGAUAUUCCCACAACACCUGAGGAUAACACGCUGACAAUUGUGAUCAUCGGCUUAUCUGUUGCAUUCAUCAUUGUCUUUGUUGUGAUGACUACUAUUCUUGUCUGUGAA